rnacentral:rRNA from 1 species
UACGAAGGGGGCUAGCGUUGCUCGGAAUUACUGGGCGUAAAGGGCGCGUAGGCGGACAGUUAAGUCAGAGGUGAAAGCCCAGGGCUCAACCCUGGAAUUGCCCUUGAUACUGGCUGUCUUGAGUAUGGGAGAGGUGAGUGGAACUCCGAGUGUAGAGGUGAAAUUCGUAGAUAUUCGGAAGAACACCAGUGGCGAAGGCGACUCACUGGCCCAUUACUGACGCUGAGGCGCGAAAGCGUGGGGAGCAAACAGG